AAAUUGAAGAGUUUGAUCAUGGCUCAGAUUGAACGCUGGCGGCAGGCCUAACACAUGCAAGUCGAACGGUAACAGAAAGCAGCUUGCUGCUUUGCUGACGAGUGGCGGACGGGUGAGUAAUGUCUGGGAAACUGCCUGAUGGAGGGGGAUAACUACUGGAAACGGUGGCUAAUACCGCAUAACGUCGCAAGACCAAAGAGGGGGACCUUCGGGCCUCUUGCCAUCAGAUGUGCCCAGAUGGGAUUAGCUUGUUGGUGAGGUAACGGCUCACCAAGGCGACGAUCCCUAGCUGGUCUGAGAGGAUGACCAGCCACACUGGAACUGAGACACGGUCCAGACUCCUACGGGAGGCAGCAGUGGGGAAUAUUGCACAAUGGGCGCAAGCCUGAUGCAGCCAUGCCGCGUGUAUGAAGAAGGCCUUCGGGUUGUAAAGUACUUUCAGCGGGGAGGAAGGUGUUG
rnacentral:rRNA from 1 species